UACGAAGGGGGCUAGCGUUGUUCGGAUUUACUGGGCGUAAAGCGCACGUAGGCGGUUUGUUAAGUCAGGGGUGAAAUCCCAGAGCUCAACUCUGGAACUGCCUUUGAUACUGGCAAGCUAGAGUCCGGAAGAGGUAAGUGGAACUGCGAGUGUAGAGGUGAAAUUCGUAGAUAUUCGGAGGAACACCAGUGGCGAAGGCGGCUCACUGGUCCAUUACUGACGCUGAGGUGCGAAAGCGUGGGGAGCAAACAGG
rnacentral:rRNA from 1 species